CCACAGGCUUUAAUCAAAGCCAAAUAACAAAUCAAAUAUGUCAAAGU
rfam:Drosophila busckii chromosome X sequence.